rnacentral:lncRNA from 10 species
GGAAAUUCUGUCAGUUUGCCACUGCCUGCUCUGCUCCAGCUGAAAAUACUUUAGCUCAGGUUCAGAAAUCUUCUCAGUGAGCUGCUAUUCAGACUCAGAAAGUAGCUUGGAGAAUACUCCAGACGUUAGGCUUUGCGAGUUUUUGUUUGUUUACAUAGAAAAGUCUCUUUUAAAUUUCCUUAUUCUUACACUGCAAAGAGACCUAACCUUGAUGGGUCCCAUCUGCAAUGCUCCUCCUGAAAAGAGACAGAGCUGUUUAACUGAACUGACCUAUUUGGAGGACGAAUAGACUGAUUGAAAAAGGUGCCCAGGAAGUCCUGGAACUGAGUCCUGGGGCAAGGUUCUGGAAGUUGGGACAAGAAGAUUCCUAGAAAAGAGGAAAACAAUCACUCUAGAACUGUUAUAAGCAUGCUAACCAGGACUUCAGAGAAAGGAAAAAAAAAGGCUGAACCUCGCUGGUGAUUCAGAUGGAUCAUGAGGAUCUUUCAACAAAGCUAAGUUCCCGUCUUUUAACGCAGUUAUUCUCAUACUUUUAUACUGAAAUAUCCAGAAUAGCAAAUGAGUUAAAUAUGUUUUCUGUGGGGUUCUGUACAAAGAAGAUUUAGAGCUUUAUGAACCUAAAAUAACAUAUCACAAGGAGAAAAUUUACUUGAAGUGGGAGACUUGGCUUAAAAGCAUCUAAUAUAAAUUGUAUAUUAUAUUCAAUAAUACAAAAGCAAUGCUUUAUUUAGAAUGAAUUAAAAUGCAUGCUUCAGACAAAAUGCAUGAUGUUUAGCUUUUGAUUUACUGAAUAUACUAUUCAACAGAUGUUUGAGUUACAUAGUUUGAGGAGCACAGGCCUUUGGUAUUGAUGGCUCCUGUUAAAAUAAAAACAUGUUUUCUGAGAGCAUAAUCAUAUGAAACCAGGAGCACAUAUUAACAUAAAACUCAAAUCACUUCCCCUGACUUUCUUCUUUCAAAUGUAAAGAAAGUGGGAAACAGGACAGAUGAAUUUGAAGAAACAGAAGAGCUCAGGAAAGUUCAAAGCAUGAAGCAAACUCAAAAGUAUAUCUAAAUACCUAGGGAGCACCUUCAAAGCACAAGGUACCUGAAGAUGAAACGGCAGAAGUGAAAAGAAUUGCUCGUGUAGUACAGGGCUAAAAUUGUACCUGAAGCAUCUCUGCUGCUAUCCCAGGAGAAGAAGAGUCGACAGUAGCUAUGAAUAAUCAUGGAAAUUUCAAUGGAAACAACAUAUCACAUUCUCUGUCUACUACAUAAGUAUGUCUUUUUUAUUUGUAAAUAGAUCAUAUUUUGCACAUAAUUAGGUAAUACCCACAUAUCUCAAUUUGGCUUAGGAAUUAUAUUGAAAGAUAGAAUUGCAUAAGGGUAGGGAUUUUACUUUUAAAUUAUUUUCAUGUCUCCAUGGAUUGGCUCUGUGCUUUACACCCAGUAGCUGUGAAACAAGUACUUAUUUAAUGAUGAAUGAAUAAAUAAAUAAAUAGUUAAAUGCAGCAACAAAAAUGUUGGUAGAUAUAUAGGAUUGUAGAAUCUAAUUGCUUAGUAGGAUCAUCAAGUUCUACCCAAAUUUGGUGUGGCAAACAGAACAAUGGUCCCUUAAGGAUGGCCUAGUCCUAACCUCCCAAACCUGGAAUAUGUUACCUUAUGUAACAAAGAGACUUUGCAGAUGUAAUUAAGUUAAUGAUCUUAAGACAGAAAUAUUAUUCUAAGUGAACUCAAUGAAAUUACAAUGAACAAUGUUCCUUAAAAGAGGAAGGCAAAAGUUCAGAAUGAAACACACAGACACACAUAAAGUGGCUACGAAAGCAGAAGUAGUGAGAGAUUUGAAGAUGCUACCUUACUAGAUUCAAAGACAGAGGAAGGGGUUAAAAUCUGAGGAAAUCAGGCAAGGCAGCCUUUCGAAGCUGCAGAAGAUGAGGAAAUGAAUUCUCCCUAGAACUUCCAGAUAGAAACAGCCCUACUGAUGCCUUGACAUUAGCUCAGUGAAACGUAUUUUCAGACUCUAACUUCCAGAUCUGUAGGAGAUAAAUUUGUGUUGUUUAAGCUACUACAUUUGUGGCAGUUUGUCAAAGUAGCAAAAGGAAACGUAUAUUUGGUAGGCAUCAGAAUUUCCUGAGCAAUAUAGUGUGAUUACCUUUGAAAAUUCUACUCAGCAGUCCUGGAAUUGCAGCCUGAAAUUUGAAAUUUACUAAGUGCUCCCACUAUAUCUGAGUCAGGAAUUACCUAGGAAACCAUGAUAUAUUGCAUUACACUAAUUUUGUACUUGAGAAAAAGCACAAUGUUAAAAUCUCAAGAACAUUAAUAUAGACUUAAGUACAAUUUAUCAUGUAAAAACAUAUUUGAAAAAGUAAGCCUGAAAAAAAGAAACAACUGAACUAUUAACACUAUAUUCUCUAACUAUAUAUUGAUUUUCUCCUUUUGCUUUUACACAGCGAACCACAUAUACUUUCACAGAGGGUGAUUUGGAUAAUAUGUUCCAUGCAUUGCUCCAAGCAGAAAUUCUCAAUCUAUCAUUUCUGCUUGUAUUAUUUUACACCUCUUAAAGACAUUCACAUUCCAUCACAGGGAGCCAAAAUCAGCCUGUUAUAUCUCUGUUUGCGAAUACCGCAAUACUUACUUUACUUUCUCCUGAAUAGAUUGUUAGUGGUUUUUAUUAUCUCCUGUAAAGAGUGUGAGAAAUGCAUGUUGCAAGGACACUUUUGUUUUAUUCACAUUAUUCUACUGAAUCAUGCUAACCAUAGCAUUACAUCUAUUUAUCUAUCUAGCUAUUAAACAUAUUCAGAAUACCUAACAACUUUAGGGGCAUUCAGUAUAUAGAAUAUGCUAGUAUUUGUUAUUUUCUAAAAAUUAAUAAUUAAGAAUGUCAUUCUAUUAUUGCAUUAGUGACUUAGUUAAAAUUUAGACCAUUAACAAAAAAGAGAUGAAAAAAAAAACAAAAAACAUUAGGCACUAAAGGAGUCCUCAGCAAUGGCUUUUUCAAAAUGAUAAUUUGGCAUCAUAAAGCGGGUAUUUGGUAACCAUACUCUAUUACAGAACAGCAAAUGGAAUUUAUGUUCUAUUUUCCCAUAUCCACUUCUUUACUAUAAUUUAGCAAUCAUUGUAAUUCUUACUAUAUAGUUAUUUCAAAUUUGAUAUGAUUCUUAAAGAUGCUCUGAUAGUAACAUUUUCUUUAGUGCCUCAUGUCACUCUCUCUCUCUUUCUUUAAAAAAUAAGUUGUCUUUACAGGAACAAAUUUCACUAUAGAUGCCUGACUUUCUCCUUUCAAAAUGAUUAUUGAAACUCAUUGAGAUCUGGCACUCUGUGUUUCUUAUUUUUAUUCCGUACGUAGGAAAAAAAGAACUCAGAGACACACAUGGUUUUAAGAGGCUGUGACUGUCAACUCUGCCCCUUCCUAUUGAAUAUUGAAGCCUUUAUGUUAUUGAAUACAUUGAAUAUAUUGCAAAUUGGAACCCCAUUAAUAGGAUUCUAAGAAGCCUUACUACUAGAUCUGGAUUCUAAGCCUCCUUGCUUGUAUGAUAGGUUAUUGUCUGAGACAUUAAGCAACUAGACCUAUGUUGGGACACUUGCUUCACAAGGUAAUGCGAUGUAUUAAUAAUGAGGAAAGAAAAAUUGCCCUGCUUGUGCUAGUGAGGAUCUUGAGCACUCUCUAUUUUCUCUUCACUCCUGCUUUAGUGGUUGCAGAAAAGAUUUUUUUUCUGUCAGAUGUACAUGCAGUAGCAAAAAAUUGAAGCAUCUUUCCUCACUAAUGAGCUGCAAAAUUUAACAGUUUGGGGGAGUCUCCAUGGAAACUUUUUAAUAUGGUGACCUAUGAGUGCUAAAUGUGUAUGAGGUGACAAUUCCUUCUACAUGGAAGACUGUCACAGAUAGCAUAUGGUAGGACUUUAUGAAAGCCACUAAAAUUAUUUCUGCCUCAGUUUCCAUCACUAUAAAGGCAUAAUCAUAUAAUCUCCAGUCAUAAGGAUUACUGAGAUAAUCUUUAAAUUUGCAUUAAAUUCCUUGGAGAUAGGCAUUAUAUAAAUAGGAAGCUCCAUAUUAAAUGAACAAAAUUUCAAUAAAGAGUGGCUACACUUAAUGGAUACAAUGUGGUCUGAAAUUUAAGUAAUUGACCAGAAAUCAGGACUUGGGACCAAUUACUGGACAUCCAAUUUGUGUCAUUUGAGAGAAAUUGCAUAGAACAUUCUUUCCUCAUUUUCAACAUUUACUUAUUACAUGAAGUAGAUAAUUUAACACUAAAUAAGGCUAUAGUUACAUUUUCUCCAUGUGUCACUGCAGGCUGCAAAAAAAAGUAUUAUAUUAAAUUAAUAGUCAGAAUCUUUCCCCAAAUGAUGAUAAUUGGAUCUCUGAUUGAAAGGACACCAAAGAAAUGGCUAGAGAAAAUAUAGCUCUGUCCUCAGUAUAUAGUAUUUUUAAUAAUAAUCUAUAUUUUUAAAGUAUUACAUCAUGUUCACUCCAAGAAGGGAGAAAAGAGCUCAAAACAUAUCUGGUGGCACAUCUGUAGUCCCAGCUACUUGGGAGAUUGAGGCAGGAGGAUCACUUUAGCCCAGGAAUUUAAGGCUGCUGUAAGCUAUGAUUGCACCUGUGAAUAGCUACUGUACUACAGCCUGGGCAAUAUAGGAGGAUACUGUCUCUUAAAAAAACAAAACAAAAUAUCUGACAUUUAGCUUAUAAAUCUCAUGUAUUAAUGGUUCAUAUUUCUGUUAUUCAUGCUGACAUAAUUAUUGUGAAGUCUUUUUGCAUGUGAUAAGAAUCUAUAUUCUUAUUCAAUAUCUAUUAAAUAUAUGGUACUCUGCUAGAGUAUUCUGAUGGACUCAGGGUAGAAAAAUGACUAAAACAACAGCUAUCUGAAUUUCUCUAUCUUAAUCAGUAUGCAUAGUGUUAACCUUAUAUAAGAAUGUCCCUAUAGUUAAUCAUUUGUGGUUUCAUUAAGCAGUAUUGAAGCUUUUAGAAGAAAUCACACAUACUGUGAUUUAAGGAAGCCUGGCAGUUACAACAGAAAAAAGAAGCUGAUUCAUGUAGAAUGUCUUGAAAUUUUGUCACUGGUAAUUUUGGCAAGAACAUUAUUAAUGUUAAGAUUUGUUUAUAACCAAUGAGAACACAUGGACACAGGGAGGGGAACAUCACACACCAGGGCCUGUCGGGGUUGGAGGACCAGGGGAGGGAUAGCAUUAGGAGAAAUACCUAAUGUAGAUGAUGAGUUGAUGGGUGCAGCAAACCACCAUGGCACGUGUAUAGGCAUACACUGUAACAAACCUGGAUGUUCUGCACAUGUAUCCCAAAACUUAAAGAAUAAUUUUAAAAAGUUUUUUUUAAAGAUUUGUUUAUAAAAUGGCAAAUUGCUUAAUCAGGGGAAUCCUCAUUGAGUUGAGAAGUAUGAGCUGUGAAGUAUGUUUUGCUGGAAAUAAACUUGUAAGCCGCUACAUAUAUAUUCUCCAAACAGAAAUAAACGCAAACAUCAUUUACCUGGAGGACAGGUUGAGAAUGAGUUAUAGCCUAACAUGACAUACAUAAGAAACUAAAAAAAAAAAAAAAAAAAAAAAAAAAAAAACAGAAUGAGGAUGAUACAUGAUCCCAAAAUAGAAGUAAGCAUUUUUUGGACAGAAAAGAUUCUGAAAAACUUGUGUCCCAAUGGUUCAUCCUUGAAUUGUAUCAUUGCAACUACCCCUCCCUCAUACAUAUACCAUGUCCUCUUCAUGAUUCUGAGAAAUUUUGAAGACCAGAUUCAAGGGGGUUCACAAAUGCCACUAAGACCUUCAUGUUACUAAGAAUGAUUAGUAUAUCAGCCUGGAGAAGCACUUGCUACAGGUUAGGCAAAUUAGGGUCCCCUUAUAGAAGAUGAUUAAAGUAGACAGAAGGAAUAAAAUUAACGUAUUAUUCAAUAAAUCUUCCUUAUGUCUCAUCUGGCUAAAUAAAAGUCCUGGGAAUAUAUUUAUAACUAACCAUUAUGCAAGUUCUUUCAACCCAAAAUAUUUUCUCCCUAUAUUAACUCUAUGUACUCCCCUACACACACACAUAUAUCUCCUAAACUUUUUAAACUAUUCUAAGUUAUGUGCUAGGAAUUGUACUAGGCAUUUUACAAAUAUAAAUUCACGCUAUUUGUACAUUUAGAAAAGUAAGAUACAAGAUUAUUUUUAAUCAAUAUUGACAAAAUUUAUCUUCUUUUUAAACAUAUUGACUAAAUAGUUCAGAGUUCAAAGAUGAAUUAUGAUAAAGAGUGUUUAGCAAAAUGUUUACACAUAAAAUACUUUGAACUCACUAGCAAUGAAGCAAAUAUUAUAGCCCGAAGACUCUCAGGAAAUUUAAUCCAGAAUGGAGGAUACUAAGUGAUGUAUGGAACUGCUUAUUCUACUUAAACAUCAAAACUCCACAUGAAUCUUCGAAGUGUAUCUCUGCGCCUUAAAUGAAAACACAGUUUUGACAUUGUUUAUUGCCUCUUGAGAGGAAACUCUGCUCAAUUCAUAAGUGAAUCAUGAAUUACCCAAUUUUUUCUUCCAUGGGCUUCUCUCAGGGUGCCCCUUGGUUUAACUUCAUUAUGUACAAACAUGGUAUUACCUUCCAUAACACAAUAUUUCAUAUACAGAGUGAUAUAUCAUUUAGAUGACUCUUUAGACCAUCGUUUUGAAAGCUACAGUUUUCUGAGCUAACAAUUAUAUUAUAGCUAUAUAGAAAUAAUAAAACCUUUUUUUUUUCUUUUUUUGAGAUGGAGUCUCACUAUGUCGCCCAGGCUGGAGGGCAGUGGCGCGAUCUCAGCUCACUGCAACCUCCGCCUCUCAGGUUCAAGCGAUUCUCCUGCCUCAGCCUCCCGAGUAGCUGGGUCUGCAGGUGCGUGCCACCAUGCCCAGCUAAUUUUUUGUAUUUUUAGUAGAGACGGGAUUUCACUCUGUUAGCCAGGCUGGUCUCCAUCUCCUGACCUCGUGAUCCGCCCACCUCGUCCUCCCAAAGUGCUAGUAUUACAGGUGUGAGCCACUGCGCCAGGCCAGUAAAAUCUUUCUUAAUUAAACAGCCCUAUAUUGUGCAACUAUAAUAGAAUAUGUGAUAACUAAAUUCAAAGGGUGAGAGAAUCAUAAAAGUUAUCGUACAUGCCUAAACUUAUGUACCAAAAUGUGCUAUGUACAUGCAUACAACUAAGUGUACUAGGCUUUCAUCAGAAGUCCCUUUUAGUUAUCUGCAGCUGCUUUAUUCCUUUUUGUAGAUCCCUUAUAAUUAUAAAAAUAUUUUUAUAUACAUUCGAAAUAUCUUAUGAUUAUAUAUAGUUACACAUAUUUGAUAUAUAUUUAUAUAUGUAUUACAGCGAUGUAUUUCUGAUCAGUGUUUUCUAACAACCACAAAUAUGUGGAAUAUAACUUAUACAAAAAACAUUUUGGAUGACAUAACAACUCAGAAGUAAUAAUUUUCCACACCAAUGACCUGUCUCUACUUCUAAUAUAAAGAAGGCAUCAAGAAGUAUGCUUUCUUAAAUAUGCUCCCCUUCAGCUGACAGUUUAUUGGCUACCAAGACCUAUAGUGAGGAGCAAAUAUACAUUUCUUUAUUUAGAAUAUUGACCCUUGGGAGAGGUGUAUUUCAAAUGCAUUUUUUUUUUUUUUGCAGGCUUGAGUGGUUAAGCUUUUUAACGAUAUAAUUCUACAGAGAUCAUUUCUUCCAAUUUUCUUUAAUUUUCAAGUACUGGAAGUCCUACCCAGUCUAACUAGGCAAGAAGAAGAAAUAAAAGUCUUCUGAAUCAGAUAAGAAGUAAAAUUGACUCUGUUUGCAGGUGACAUGAUCUUAUUUAUAGAGAACCAUAAAGACUAUUGGAAAAAACUCUCAAAGGUUGACUCUUUCUCUAAUCUGAGUGAAUUGAAGAGUGAAAUAGAUUACUUUUCAAGGAUGUCUGGCCAGCUGUCUUGGACAUCUAACGUCAUGAGAAGCUAGCUGAAAAUCUCAUUUUUAUAGGCACUCUGGGAUUUUACUGAAUCUAACCACUAUGACAAGAUACUAAAAAUAUUUUUAAAAACUUCAACGGAAAUUUGAAAAUAUAUUCACGAAGAUAUAACCUCUGAAGACAUUUGAGAAAUCUUAUUUGCAAAAUCUUUUUAUGAAGAAUCUUUUUUCAUGUACAGAGAACAGGCAAAUAAAUAGGAACUAAUCUUAAAACAUAAUAAUUUUGUAUUGCAGGAAGUUUAUGAUGUUCUGGGAAUAUCUAGUAAAAAUAUUUGACUUAGCAUAGAGCUUUCAUGGAUAUUUCUAGAAGAAAAUUACACUUAACAACUAAAAGAUAAUUAGGAGUUGUGAAAGGAGGAAAAGAAAGAGAACUCCAGAGCCGGGUGCGGUGUCUCACGCCUGUAAUCCCAGCACUUUGGGAGACCUAGGCGGGCAGAUCAUCUGAGGUCAGGAGUUCAAGAUCAGCCUGACCAACAUGGAGAAACCCCAUCUCUACUAAAAAUACAAAUAAAACUAGCUGGGCGUGGUGGCGUAUGCCUGUAAUCCCAGCUACUCUGAAGGCUGAGGCAGGAGAAAUGUUUG